GCAGAAUUCAGCUAGACACACACAAAAAGACAAUCACUACAGCCUUCCAAGAAGAUGGACUGCCUCACAAUAGUUUCCUUGAGGACUGUCUUGAAAUAUCCAGAGUUUAAGAUUCAAGAAACGGACUCUAUCUGGAAAAGGAAAACAAUAUCAAAGCUCCUCUGAGAGAAGUUGGCCAAGGAAAGCAUUCAGAAGAAAGUGGAGAUUCAUUGUUUUUACCAGAUCCAGCAGAUCACAGAAAGCAUCUAGUAGGGGAGGUCUACAGAUCGAAGCAUGCCAAACGUGUAAAGAACAAGUUUCCAGGAUUAAGCCAGCCAGUAGAUGAGACUAUUAUAUCAAAAAUACAUUUACUUGUACACGAGGGCACACAAAGCGUUGAUGAAACAAAAAGACAUUUCCGUCUGUUUGUAAAGGAUACUAUUUCACCAGGGAACACUAUCUCAGAAUUUAACAGAUGCUUUUACCCCGCCAAUAAGGAUGUAAGAAAUCACAUUUACAGGGCACUGAGAUUUUGCCAGGUAGUUUAGAACUGUGUGCAUUGGUUUUGGAAGAAUUUGGACUGUUUAGGCUAAAAUCCAUUAUGAUUGGACAGAAUAUGAACACACACAUCCAAUACUUCAAAGAUAUUAUGUUUGUGGAGGCAGAGAUUUUGAUUGCAUCCACUGUUUAGAAUACAUCCUUAAGGGAAGCAGACUGCCGCCUUUACCCAAUGAUAUAAUGAUUAAUCAUAACUAUAUCUGUUUUGUACCAAAUAGAAAGACCAUUGAUUCAGGUCAUUUUCAAAUCCACUGGCAUACAUUGUACUAUACAUGCAACCUUUUCAAACUUUACAUUUAAGAUUUUGUAAAGGAAAUAUCUUAAUGUUUCACAUGUUUACCUUUCACUGUGCUAUGUAAUUCAUUAUACCUGCCAUUAUUCCAGUCUUCCUGAACAUAAUUUGUUUUCUGCAAUUUCAUUGGCCAAGAGGCUUAAUCCUGGGUUAUCAGAUUGAGCAUUUAUAUUUAGUAUCCCAUUGAUUUUGUCAGCACUAUAUAAGGAGCUGACUCAGA